CAAUAGCGUAUAUUAAAGUUGUUGCAGUUAAAAAGCUCGUAGUUGAAUUUCUGGGCUGGCCGGGAGGCGGCCUUCGGUCGACCUCCCCGCGAGUUCAUCCUCGCCCCUCGGGGCGUCAUUUACUGUGAAAAAAUUAGAGUGUUUAAAGCAGGCUUCUGGCUUGAAUACAUUAGCAUGGAAUAAUGAGAUAGGACCGAGUCGUAUUUUGUUGGUUGCGCGAACCGGUAAUGAUUAAUAGGGACAGUUGGGGGUAUUCAUAUUUAAUUGUCAGAGGUGAAAUUCUUAGAUUUGUUAAAGAUGAACUACUGCGAAAGCAUUUACCAAGGAUGUUUUCAUUAA
rnacentral:rRNA from 1 species